rnacentral:rRNA from 1 species
GACGAACGCUGGCGGCGUGCUUAACACAUGCAAGUCGAACGGAAAGGCCCUGCUUUUGUGGGGUGCUCGAGUGGCGAACGGGUGAGUAACACGUGAGUAACCUGCCCUUGACUUUGGGAUAACUUCAGGAAACUGGGGCUAAUACCGGAUAGGAGCUCCUGCUGCAUGGUGGGGGUUGGAAAGUCUCGGCGGUUGGGGAUGGACUCGCGGCUUAUCAGCUUGUUGGUGGGGUAGUGGCUUACCAAGGCUUUGACGGGUAGCCGGCCUGAGAGGGUGACCGGCCACAUUGGGACUGAGAUACGGCCCAGACUCCUACGGGAGGCAGCAGUGGGGAAUAUUGCACAAUGGGCGGAAGCCUGAUGCAGCACCGCCGCGUGCGGGAUGACGGCCUUCGGGUUGUAAACCGCUUUCGCCUGUGACGAAGCGUGAGUGACGGUAAUGGGUAAAGAAGCACCGGCUAACUACGUG